UACGGAGGGUGCAAGCGUUAUUCGGAUUUACUGGGCGUAAAGGGCGCGCAGGCGGCUUUGCAAGUCAGUUGUGAAAGCCCGGGGCUUAACCCCGGAAGUGCGACUGAAACUGCGGGGCUUGAGUAUGGUAGAGGGAAGUGGAAUUCCUGGUGUAGCGGUGAAAUGCGUAGAUAUCAGGAGGAACACCGGUGGCGAAGGCGGCUUCCUGGACCAAUACUGACGCUGAGGCGCGAAGGUGUGGGGAGCAAACAGGAUUAGAUACCCCCGUAGUCC
rnacentral:rRNA from 1 species